rnacentral:rRNA from 1 species
CGGGACACGUGGUAUCCUGUCUGAAUAUGGGGGGACCAUCCUCCAAGGCUAAAUACUCCUGACUGACCGAUAGUGAACCAGUACCGUGAGGGAAAGGCGAAAAGAACCCCGGCGAGGGGAGUGAAAAAGAACCUGAAACCGUGUACGUACAAGCAGUGGGAGCACGCUUAGGCGUGUGACUGCGUACCUUUUGUAUAAUGGGUCAGCGACUUAUAUUCUGUAGCAAGGUUAACCGAAUAGGGGAGCCGAAGGGAAACCGAGUCUUAACUGGGCGUUAAGUUGCAGGGUAUAGACCCGAAACCCGGUGAUCUAGCCAUGGGCAGGUUGAAGGUUGGGUAACACUAACUGGAGGACCGAACCGACUAAUGUUGAAAAAUUAGCGGAUGACUUGUGGCUGGGGGUGAAAGGCCAAUCAAACCGGGAGAUAGCUGGUUCUCCCCGAAAGCUAUUUAGGUAGCGCCUCGUGAAUUCAUCUCCGGGGGUAGAGCACUGUUUCGGCAAGGGGGUCAUCCCGACUUACCAACCCGAUGCAAACUGCGAAUACCGGAGAAUGUUAUCACGGGAGACACACGGCGGGUGCUAACGUCCGUCGUGAAGAGGGAAACAACCCAGACCGCCAGCUAAGGUCCCAAAGUCAUGGUUAAGUGGGAAACGAUGUGGGAAGGCCCAGACAGCCAGGAUGUUGGCUUAGAAGCAGCCAUCAUUUAAAGAAAGCGUAAUAGCUCACUGGUCGAGUCGGCCUGCGCGGAAGAUGUAACGGGGCUAAACCAUGCACCGAAGCUGCGGCAGCGACACUAUGUGUUGUUGGGUAGGGGAGCGUUCUGUAAGCCUGUGAA